AGUGAACCCUGGCGGUAGGCCUAACACAUGCAAGUCGAACGGCAGCACAGUAAGAGCUUGCUCUUACGGGUGGCGAGUGGCGGACGGGUGAGGAAUACAUCGGAAUCUACUUUUUCGUGGGGGAUAACGUAGGGAAACUUACGCUAAUACCGCAUACGACCUACGGGUGAAAGCAGGGGAUCUUCGGACCUUGCGCGAUUGAAUGAGCCGAUGUCGGAUUAGCUAGUUGGCGGGGUAAAGGCCCACCAAGGCGACGAUCCGUAGCUGGUCUGAGAGGAUGAUCAGCCACACUGGAACUGAGACACGGUCCAGACUCCUACGGGAGGCAGCAGUGGGGAAUAUUGGACAAUGGGCGCAAGCCUGAUCCAGCCAUACCGCGUGGGUGAAGAAGGCCUUCGGGUUGUAAAGCCCUUUUGUUGGGAAAGAAAAGCAGCAGGUUAAUACCCCGCUGUUCUGACGGUACCCAAAGAAUAAGCACCGGCUAACUUCG
rnacentral:rRNA from 1 species